GAUGAACGCUGGCGGCGUGCCUAAUACAUGCAAGUCGAGCGAACGGACGCGAAGCUUGCUUCUCUGAUGUUAGCGGCGGACGGGUGAGUAACACGUGGAUAACCUACCUAUAAGACUGGGAUAACUUCGGGAAACCGGAGCUAAUACCGGAUAAUAUUUUGAACCGCAUGGUUCAAAAGUGAAAGACGGUCUUGCUGUCACUUAUAGCUGCAUCCGAGCUGCAUUAGCUAGUUGGUACGGUAACGGCUUACCAAGGCAACGAUGCAUAGCCGACCUGAGAGGGUGAUCGGCCACACUGGAGCUGAGACACGGUCCAGACUCCUACGGGAGGCAGCAGUAGGGAAUCUUCCGCAAUAGGCGAAAGCCUGACGGAGCAACGCCGCGUGAGUGAUGAAGGUCUUCGGAUCGUAAAACUCUGUUAUUAGGGAAGAACAUAUGUGUAAGUAACUGUGCACAUCUUGACGGUACCUAAUCAGAAAGCCACGGCUAACUACGUG
rnacentral:rRNA from 1 species